UCGUCCUAUUGAGAGAGCAGCUAUCUGUACU
rnacentral:piRNA from 1 species